UACGUAGGGUGCAAGCGUUGUCCGGAAUUAUUGGGCGUAAAGAGCGUGUAGGCGGCCUUACAGGUCAGCUGUGAAAACUCGAGGCUCAACCUCGAGACGUCGGCGGAAACCAUCUGGCUAGAGUCCGGAAGAGGAGAGUGGAAUUCCUGGUGUAGCGGUGAAAUGCGCAGAUAUCAGGAAGAACACCCGUGGCGAAGGCGGCUCACUGGCCCGGUACUGACGCUGAGGUGCGAAAGCGUGGGGAGCAAACAGG
rnacentral:rRNA from 1 species